CAGGAGGGCUGGACAUUUGGGACCCUAAUGAGGGAGGGGUAGGCUCAGGGACAAGACAUCCACUCUGACAGCCACACGGUCAGCUGACCCCCACUGCUGGGAAUGCAUGCAUGGCUCCAGUCGCAUCCCACACUGGAUGGGCAUCACCUCUGCUUGAAUCAACCAAAGGGAAACAAGUCCACGGGCCCACCAGACCUUAAAUGCAAGGCUUGAAAAUGAGGCACAUUCAUGCAACAUGUAACCAGCCCAACCUGGAGCAGACAAAGGACUCCAGGAGAUCGAGUCCAGGAGACACCUGUAUUCGGUUACCAACAGCUCAUUUCCUUAUGUUGCUGCACUUUCAGUUUCUAAGCUCACUUAUGCCAACUAUUGGUUUGACCCAAGAAACUUUGAAAAUACACAUUCUGCAUGCUUCUGCACAUUGCGGACGACUCUAUACCGCUUGCAUAGCCCCACACCCCUGUCAAAGGCAGGAGGAGGAUGCUUAAAGCUGCCACUGGAGACGGAUACAGCACAUGGUUGUUCUGGAAAAG
rnacentral:lncRNA from 1 species